rnacentral:rRNA from 1 species
AGAGUUUGAUCCUGGCUCAGGACGAACGCUGGCGGCGUGCUUAACACAUGCAAGUCGAGCGAUGAAGCUCCUUCGGGAGUGGAUUAGCGGCGGACGGGUGAGUAACACGUGGGUAACCUGCCUCAUAGAGGGGAAUAGCCUUCCGAAAGGAAGAUUAAUACCGCAUAAGAUUGUAGUACCGCAUGGUAUAGCAAUUAAAGGAGCAAUCCGCUAUGAGAUGGACCCGCGUCGCAUUAGCUAGUUGGUGAGGUAACGGCUCACCAAGGCGACGAUGCGUAGCCGACCUGAGAGGGUGAUCGGCCACAUUGGGACUGAGACACGGCCCAGACUCCUACGGGAGGCAGCAGUGGGGAAUAUUGCACAAUGGGGGAAACCCUGAUGCAGCAACGCCGCGUGAGUGAUGACGGUCUUCGGAUUGUAAAACUCUGUCUUUGGGGACGAUGAUGACGGUACCCAAGGAGGAAGCCACGGCUAACUACGUGCCAGCAGCCGCGGUAAU